rnacentral:rRNA from 1 species
CUGCGCGUGCUAUACAUGCAAGUCGAGCGGACAGAUGGGAGCUUGCUCCCUGAUGUUAGCGGCGGACGGGUGAGUAACACGUGGGUAACCUGCCUGUAAGACUGGGAUAACUCCGGGAAACCGGGGCUAAUACCGGAUGGUUGUUUGAACCGCAUGGUUCAGACAUAAAAGGUGGCUUCGGCUACCACUUACAGAUGGACCCGCGGCGCAUUAGCUAGUUGGUGAGGUAACGGCUCACCAAGGCGACGAUGCGUAGCCGACCUGAGAGGGUGAUCGGCCACACUGGGACUGAGACACGGCCCAGACUCCUACGGGAGGCAGCAGUAGGGAAUCUUCCGCAAUGGACGAAAGUCUGACGGAGCAACGCCGCGUGAGUGAUGAAGGUUUUCGGAUCGUAAAGCUCUGUUGUUAGGGAAGAACAAGUGCCGUUCAAAUAGGGCGGCACCUUGACGGUACCUAACCAGAAAGCCACGGCUAACUACGUGCCAGCAGCCGCGGUAAUACGUAGGUGGCAAGCGUUGUCCGGAAUUAUUGGGCGUAAAGGGCUCGCAGGCGGUUUCUUAAGUCUGAUGUGAAAGCCCCCGGCUCAACCGGGGAGGGUCAUUGGAAACUGGGGAACUUGAGUGCAGAAGAGGAGAGUGGAAUUCCACGUGUAGCGGUGAAAUGCGUAGAGAUGUGGAGGAACACCAGUGGCGAAGGCGACUCUCUGGUCUGUAACUGACGCUGAGGAGCGAAAGCGUGGGGAGCGAACAGGAUUAGAUACCCUGGUAGUCCACGCCGUAAACGAUGAGUGCUAAGUGUUAGGGGGUUUCCGCCCCUUAGUGCUGCAGCUAACGCAUUAAGCACUCCGCCUGGGGAGUACGGUCGCAAGACUGAAACUCAAAGGAAUUGACGGGGGCCCGCACAAGCGGUGGAGCAUGUGGUUUAAUUCGAAGCAACGCGAAGAACCUUACCAGGUCUUGACAUCCUCUGACAUCCUAGAGAUAGGACGUCCCCUUCGGGGGCAGAGUGACAGGUGUGCAUGAUGUCGUCAGCUCGUGUCGUGAGAUGUUGGGUUAAGUUCCCCGCACGAGCGGCAACCUUUGGAUUCUUAAGUUUGCCCAGCCAA